CCUACGGGAGGCUGCAGUGGGGAAUAUUGCACAAUGGGCGAAAGCCUGAUGCAGCGACGCCGCGUGAAGGAUGAAGCGUUUCGGCGUGUAAACUUCUGUUAGAGGGGACGAUUAUGACGGUACCCUCAGAGAAAGCACCGGCUAAAUAUGUGCCAGCAGCCGCGGUAAUACAUAUGGUGCAAGCGUUAUCCGGAUUUAUUGGGCGUAAAGCGCGCGUAGGCGGUUUGGUAAGUUAGAAGUUAAAUCCCUGGGCUCAACCCAGGUUCGCUUUUAAAACUGCCAAGCUAGAGUUUUGGAGAGGGAAGGGGAACUAACAGAGUAGCGGUGAAAUGCGUAGAUACUGUUAGGAACACCAGUGGCGAAGGCGCCUUCCUGGACAAUAACUGACGUUAAAGUGCGAAAGCGUGGGGAGCAAACAGGAUUAGAUACCCCAGUAGUC
rnacentral:rRNA from 1 species